rnacentral:rRNA from 1 species
UACGAAGGAUCCAAGCGUUAUCCGGAUUUAUUGGGUUUAAAGGGUGCGUAGGCGGCCUUCUAAGUCAGACGUGAAAUCCCCCGGCUUAACCUGGGAACUGCGUCUGAUACUGGGAGGCUUGAGUAUGGGAGAGGGAUGUAGAAUUCCAGGUGUAGCGGUGAAAUGCGUAGAUAUCUGGAGGAACACCGGUGGCGAAGGCGGCAUCCUGGACCGGCAUUGACGCUGAGGCGCGAAAGCUAGGGGAGCAAACGGG